rnacentral:rRNA from 1 species
UUUGCAUGGACGCAGUCUGACCAGCGACGCCGCGUGCGGGAUGAAGGCCUUCGGGUUGUAAACCGCUUUCAGCAGGGAAGAAGCGAAAGUGACGGUACCUGCAAAAGAAGCACCGGCUAACUAUGUGCCAGCAGCCGCGGUAAUACAUAGGGUGCAAGCGUUGUCCGGAAUUAUUGGGCGUAAAGAGCUCGUAGGUUGUUCGUUACGUCGGAUGUGAAAAUCUGAGGCUUAACCUCAGACCUGCAUUCGAUACGGGCGAACUAGAGUGUGGUAGGGGAGACUGGAAUUCCUGGUGUAGCGGUGGAAUGCGCAGAUAUCAGGAGGAACACCAAUGGCGAAGGCAGGUCUCUGGGCCAUUACUGACACUGAGGAGCGAAAGUCUGGGGAGCGAACAGGAUUAGAUACCCUGGUAGUCCAGACCGUAAACGGUGGGCGCUAGUUGUGGGAACCUUCCACGGUUUCUGCGACGCAGCUAACGCAUUAAGCGCCCCGCCUGGGGAGUACGAUCGCAAGAUUAAAACUCAAAGGAAUUGACGGGGCCCCGCACAAGCAGCGGAGCAUGCGGCUUAAUUCGACGCAACGCGAAGAACCUUACCAAGGCUUGACAUAUANGGGAAAGCAAUAGAGAUAUUGUGUCCGCAAGGGCUCUAUACAGGUGGUGCAUGG